rnacentral:sRNA from 1 species
ACCUGAAAUGUUUUUGGGGGGCUUCAGAUGGCUU